CCUAUGGGAGGCAGCAGUGGGGAAUUUUGGACAAUGGGCGCAAGCCUGAUCCAGCUAUUCCGCGUGUGGGAAGACGGCCUUCGGGUUGUAAACCACUUUUGUAGAGAACGAAAAGUCUAUUGAUAAUACCGCUAUACGAUGACGUUACUCUAAGACUCAGCACCGGCUAACUACGUGCCAGCAGCCGCGGUAAUACGUAGGGUGCGAGCGUUCAUCGGAAUUACUGGGCGUAAAGGCUGUGCAGGUGGUUUUGCAAGAUGGAUGGGAACGCCCCGGGCUUAACCUGGGAAAGCCAUACAUGACUGCAAGACUAGAGUGCGGCAGAGGGGGGUGGAACUCCAAGUGUAGCAGUGAAAUGCGUAGAUAUUUGGAAGAACACCGAUGGCGAAGGCAGCCCACUGGGACGCAACUGACGCUCAGACACGAAAGCGUGGGGAGCAAACAGGAUUAGAUACCCCAGUAGUC
rnacentral:rRNA from 1 species